AUUGAACGCUGGCGGAAUGCUUUACACAUGCAAGUCGGGCGGCAGCGCGGGGGCAACCCUGGCGGCGAGCGGCGAACGGGUGAGUAAUACAUCGGAACGUGUCCUUAAGUGGGGGAUAGCUCGGCGAAAGCCGGAUUAAUACCGCAUAAGCUCUGAGGAGGAAAGCGGGGGAUCGUCUAGAAACUGGAGACUAGAAACUAGAGACUAGAUUGAUAAGGUGCGGCGAAGCCGCGCUUCGUUAGUCUAGUUUCCAGUCUCUAGUGUCUAGUUUCUAGACGACCUCGCGCUGUUGGAGCGGCCGAUGUCGGAUUAGCUAGUUGGUGGGGUAAAGGCUCACCAAGGCGACGAUCCGUAGCUGGUCUGAGAGGAUGAUCAGCCACACUGGAACUGAGACACGGUCCAGACUCCUACGGGAGGCAGCAGUGGGGUAAGUUUUGGACAAGUGGGGCAACCCUGAUCCAGCCAUUCCGCGUGAGUGAAGAAGG
rnacentral:rRNA from 1 species